GCAAUACCUGCCCAGUGCGAAAUAUUACUGUAAACGGCCGCCCUAGCGUGAGGGUGCUAAGGUAGCGAAAUUCCUUGCCUUUUGAUUGUAGGCCUGCAUGAAUGGUUUAACGAGGGUUUAACUGUCUCUAAAUUUUUUAUUGAAAUUGUACUGAAGGUGAAGAUACCUUCAUUUAAAAGUUAGACAAAAAGACCCCGUGCAACUUUGAAAAUUAACUUUAUUCAGAAGUAAAAGAUUUUUAGGUGGGGCGCCUAGAAAGUAAGUCUAACCUUUCUGAAUAAUUAGUUCUUUCCGGAUUCGACCCGAUUAUAUUCGAUCAUAGGAGAAGUUACGCCGGGGAUAACAGGCUAAUCCUUUAGUAGAGCUCGUAUUGGCUAAAGGGAUUGGCACCUCGAUGUUGAAUCAGGGAUGAUAGCUUCAGGGCGUAGAGGCUU
rnacentral:rRNA from 1 species